rnacentral:misc_RNA from 2 species
AACGCACAUUGCGCCCUCUGGUAUUCCGGAGGGCAUGCCUGUUCGAGCGUCAUUUCACCACUCAAGCCUGGCUUGGUAUUGGGCGCCGCGGUGUUCCGCGCGCCUCAAAGUCUCCGGCUGAGCUGUCCGUCUCCAAGCGUUGUGAUUUCAUUAAUCGCUUCGGGGUGCGGGCGGCCGCGGCCGUUAAAUCUUUCACAAGGUUGACCUCGGAUCAGGUAGGGAUACCCGCUGAACUUAA